GUGGCCCUUAACUCGAAGUUAAUUCAUUUGUAGGUCUAUAGUAGCCCUUAACUCGAAGUUAAUUCAUCUGUAGGUCUAUAGUGGCCCUUAACUAAAAGUUAAUUCAUCUGUAGGUCUAUAGUGGCCCUUAACUCAAAGUUAAUUCAUCUGCAGGUCUAUAGUGGCCCUUAACUAGAAGUUAAUUCAUCUGCAGGUCUAUGGUGGCCCUUAACUCGAAGUUAAUUCAUCUCUAAGUCUAUGGUGGCCCUUAACUCGAAGUUAAUUCAUCUGUAGGUCUAUAGUGGCCCUUAACUAAAAGUUAAUUCAUCUGUAGGUCUAUAGUGGCCCUUAACUCAAAGUUAAUUCAUCUGUAGGUCUAUAGUGGCCCUUAACUAAAAGUUAAUUCAUCUGUAGGUCUAUGGUGGCCCUUAACUAGAAGUUAGUUCAUCUGUAGGUCUAUAGUGGCCCUUAACUAAAAGUUACUUCACCUGUACGUCUAUAGUGGCCCU